rnacentral:rRNA from 1 species
UGGGGAAUAUUGCGCAAUGGGGGAAACCCUGACGCAGCGACGCCGCGUGAGCGAAGAAGGUUUUCGGAUUGUAAAGCUCUGUCUUAGGGGACGAAGAAUGACGGUACCCUGAGAGGAAGUCACGGCUAACUACGUGCCAGCAGCCGCGGUAAAACGUAGGUGGCAAGCGUUGUCCGGAAUUACUGGGUGUAAAGGGAGCGCAGGUGGGCUUGCAAGUCAAAUGUGAAAGGCGGGGGCUCAACCCCCGGACUGCGUUUGAUACUGUAGGUCUUGAGUGGAGUAGAGGCAGGCGGAAUUCCCGGUGUAGCGGUGGAAUGCGUAGAUAUCGGGAGGAACACCAGUGGCGAAGGCGGCCUGCUGGGCUUUAACUGACACUGAGGCUCGAAAGCGUGGGUAGCAAACAGG